GCACGCUUGUGAAGACGAUAGGGUCAUAUGUCUGUUUUCGAGUCUGAUGUUUCGUAUGUGGCAGGUAUUGCACGGAACUGCAUGUGAAUUCCAACGAAUUGUCCGUAAAGAGAGACAUGGCGGGUGGGUUUUUUGCAUCAUGAAGCGGCUACGACUGGAUUCGCUUAUGGAUGCCUGAGUAGUAAGCGAGCGCGGUGUUAGAAAUCCAGCGGCAUCCACAGAAGAAGCGGAGAAAUAAAGAGUUGGAUAGGUGGACCAAUCACACAAUCUCGAGAAGCCAGGACCCCGUGUGUCUCCAGAGAAAAGACACUGGGGCGCUUAUUCCUGGUUCCCUGCCUUAGACGUACUAUGCGAAGGGGAAGACGUUGGCGAUGCUUUUUCGCCGCUAGUCGUACGUACGUCUCUCUGGGAUUUAUGCAAACCCAUGUUCUUCGGGUGCUUUAGACCACUAUCAUUCGUAUAUGAUCCUUUUCAAGAGUAAAACGUCUUCCAUAUCUCUCUCGUUUCGCUAAAGCCGAGUAUCAGCUGACGGAUAGAUAAAAAUCCGGGGAAGGAGAUUCGUUGAGCCGCGGACCUGACAGUUUCUGAUACAGGACAGCUCACAUGGGCUGAACCAAUGUGAUGCAAGAAACCACUUGCGUUCGAAUACGGUGUUGGAGCAUACUGCUGUAUUCCACGGUGCACGGUGGACUUACGUGUUGCCGUUGACUCUACCUGGCGGGUUUCCCCGGCGAUACUACAGAAAAAAUUCGUGAUUGGAAAGUAUCCUAGGAUUGCGGGAAUAAAUCAGCGCACUAAAACAGAUACGGAAGACAUCGGAACAUGCCGACAAGUUUGUUCGGACUCGGAGCAGGCAAGCACGCAUGUCACAUUGUUGCAGUUAUCGCAGGUUUAUUCAUUGAUCGC
rnacentral:lncRNA from 1 species